ACGGGAGGCAGCAGUGGGGAAUAUUGCACAAUGGGGGAAACCCUGAUGCAGCGACGCCGCGUGAGUGAAGAAGUAUUUCGGUAUGUAAAGCUCUAUCAGCAGGGAAGAAAAUGACGGUACCUGACUAAGAAGCCCCGGCUAACUACGUGCCAGCAGCCGCGGUAAUACGUAGGGGGCAAGCGUUAUCCGGAUUUACUGGGUGUAAAGGGAGCGUAGACGGCGAUGCAAGUCUGAUGUGAAAGCCCGGGGCUCAACCCCGGCACUGCAUUGGAAACUGUGUUGCUAGAGUGCAGGAGAGGUAAGUGGAAUUCCUAGUGUAGCGGUGAAAUGCGUAGAUAUUAGGAGGAACACCAGUGGCGAAGGCGGCUUACUGGACGAUUACUGACGCUGAGGCUCGAAAGCGUGGGGAGCAAACAGGAUUAGAUACCCUGGUA
rnacentral:rRNA from 1 species